rnacentral:rRNA from 1 species
AUUGAACGCUGGCGGCAUGCCUUACACAUGCAAGUCGAACGGCAGCGGGGGAGAAGCUUGCUUUUCCUGCGGGCGAGUGGCGAACGGGUGAGUAAUACAUCGGAACGUGCCCUGUAGUGGGGGAUAACUAGUCGAAAGAUUAGCUAAUACCGCAUACGACCUGAGGGUGAAAGUGGGGGACCGCAAGGCCUCAUGCUAUAGGAGCGGCCGAUGUCUGAUUAGCUAGUUGGUGGGGUAAAGGCCUACCAAGGCGACGGUCAGUAGCUGGUCUGAGAGGACGAUCAGCCACACUGGGACUGGGACACGGCCCAGACUCCUACGGGAGGCAGCAGUGGGGAAUUUUGGACAAUGGGCGAAAGCCUGAUCCAGCAAUGCCGCGUGUGUGAAGAAGGCCUUCGGGUUGUAAAGCACUUUUGUCCGGAAAGAAAUGGCUCUGGUUAAUACCUGGGGUCGAUGACGGUACCGGAAGAAUAAGGACCGGCUAACUACGUGCCAGCCGCCGCCGUAA